rnacentral:lncRNA from 1 species
ACAUUUGACUAUACACACUCAUUUAUCGAAUACUAUAAGGGCCCGUUUGACUUAGCUUUUAAAAAAAUAAUUUUUGAAAAAGUGAUUUUAGUUUGGCGAAAUAAUUUUGGUUAAAAGAUAUAGAGUGUUUGGCUAAGUUUAGAUAAAAAUAAUUUUUCUGAAGUGAUUUUGAAAAAUUGUUUGGCAAAUUUUUUUUGAUGUUUGCAUAAAUUAAUAUUUUUAUUAAAUUUAUUUUAAAAUAAUUUAAAAUCUAAAUUUAAAUUUGAAUUAAAAUUAAAAUUUUUUAAUUUCAAAAUUGUACAAAAUUUAAAAUUUGAUAUUUUAAUUCAAAAAAUAAUUUAAAAUUUAAAAUUUAAAAUAAUUAUGAAAUAUAAAAUAUAAAAUUAAAAAUUAAAAAUUUAAAUUUAAAUUUAAAAAUAUAAAUAAUAUUGAAUUUUAAAAUAUAAAAUUUUAAUAUUUAAAAAUAUAAAUUUAAAUUUUAAAUUUCAAAGUUUAAAUUUAAAAUAUAAGAUAUAAAAUAUAAAAUAUAAAAUAUAAAAUAUAAAAUUAAAAGUUAAAAAUUAAAAAUACAAAGAAUUAUGAAAUUCAAAA